GUGCUUACUUCAACAGCACAUAUACCAAAAUUGGAAAGAUACUGCAGGAGAUUACCAUGGCCCCUGCACAAAGAUGGCACGCAAAUUCUUGACGCGUCCAUAUUUUGU
ensembl:snRNA U6 U6 spliceosomal RNA